rnacentral:rRNA from 1 species
AGGCUUUGAUCCUGGCUCAGGACGAACGCUGGCGGUAUGCCUAAUACAUGCAAGUCGAACGCUGAAGCACUCUGCUUGCAGAGUGCGGAUGAGUGGCGAACGGGUGAGUAACACGUGGGUAACCUGCCCAUAAGAGGGGGAUAACAUCCGGAAACGGGUGCUAAUACCGCAUAGGUGAACGGAGCGCAUGCUCUGUUCAUUAAAGAUGGCCUUGUGCUAUCGCUUACGGAUGGACCCGCGGCGUAUUAGCUAGUUGGUGAGGUAAUGGCUCACCAAGGCGAUGAUACGUAGCCGACCUGAGAGGGUGAUCGGCCACACUGGGACUGAGACACGGCCCAGACUCCUACGGGAGGCAGCAGUAGGGAAUCUUCCACAAUGGGCGAAAGCCUGAUGGAGCAAUACCGCGUGAGUGAAGAAGGUCUUCGGAUCGUAAAGCUCUGUUGUUAGAGAAGAACACGCAGAACAGUAACUGGUUUUGCGCUGACGGUAUCUUACCAGAAAGUCACGGCGUAAAA